rnacentral:tRNA from 1 species
GCCUGAUAAAAAAGGGUUAUUUUGAUAUAAUAAAACAUGUAAAUUUUAAUUUUACUCUUAUUA